rnacentral:rRNA from 1 species
AACGAACGCUGGCGGCGGGCCUAACACAUGCAAGUCGAGCGAAGCCUUCGGGCUUAGCGGCGGACGGGUGAGUAACGCGUGGGAACGUGCCCUUUGCUACGGAAUAGCCCCGGGAAACUGGGAGUAAUACCGUAUGUGCCCUUCGGGGGAAAGAUUUAUCGGCAAAGGAUCGGCCCGCGUUGGAUUAGGUAGUUGGUGGGGUAAUGGCCUACCAAGCCGACGAUCCAUAGCUGGUUUGAGAGGAUGAUCAGCCACACUGGGACUGAGACACGGCCCAGAUUCCUACGGGAGGCAGCAGUGGGGAAUCUUAGACAAUGGGGGAAACCCUGAUCUAGCCAUGCCGCGUGAUCGAAGAAGGCCUUAGGGUUGUAAAGAUCUUUCAGUGGGGAAGAUAAUGACUGUACCCACAGAAGAAGCCCCGGCUAACUCCGUGCCAGCCGCCGCAGUAA